rnacentral:lncRNA from 1 species
AUCACACAAGACCUUAAAAGCUGAGAACUUCCUCCUGCUGGGGACAGGACAGAUGAGGCAGAAGGGGAGGUUAGGGAGGUUUGAAGAGUGAGAAGAACUUCUGCAGUGGCUGACUUGGAAGAUGAAGGAGGUUAUGAACCAGGGAAUGGGGGCAGCCUCUAGAGGCUGAGAACCUGCUGACACCUACCCACAACCGCUAAGGAAAUGAAGACUUUAAUUCCACAACUGCAUGCAACUAAACUCAGCCAACAACCUGAAUAAGUCGGAAAAAGGCUUCUCCAGAGCCUCCAGAUAAGAGGCCAGGCUGGCGACACCUUGAUUUUGACCUUGUGAGACCUAGAGCAGAGAAACUAGCCAAGAUCACUCAGACUUCUGAUCUACAGAACUGUGAGACCGUAAAUUUAUGUUGUAUUAAGCCACUAAUUGCGUGGGAAUUUGUUACAGGAGCAAUAGAAAAUGAAUACACCUUCUGAUGUAGUUUAAUCAGUUGACAUUAGGCUCCUCCCGUUUGUAAUAUGGAGAUUUAUUUACAAUGGCGAGAGCUGCUAUGGGGCCAUCCAUAAUAACACAGAAGUCUUGGCCGACAAACACCAGAAGGAGCUGUCUGGAAGGUUUGAAUAAAUAAACCUGGGUGGGAAGUAUACAGUUAUUGUGCAUCACCAAUGAAUGAAUCAGGUUGAGUUCCAUCCUCUUCACCUAAAACUUCCUUAAGUGAGUGACAAGCGUAGUAUAAAUCAGAAAACCGAGCCAUCAAGAAGCUUGCCUUGACCAACGACUCAAAUCACAUCAAGCAGAACCAGAAGAGAACUUUACACCUGUAUCUUCAGCCCCACAGUAAAACCCAAUGACACGAUGAAUGCCAUUUAAUCUGUGUGAUUUCACCAUGAAAUCUAAACCAUCAUUUGAAAGGCUGCUGAAUGUGGUACCAGUGACACACUUUGUGCCUAACUCUCUUAACUUUUUGCUCAUUUGAUUGCCAUACAACUCUAGAAAUCUGAUUUUAAAACAAUUACCUUAGGUUCCAGGGAAUAAUUACUUUAAUGAUCUUUUAAAUAUUUUCCCCCUAAGAGUUGACCUUGCUGUAAAUUCUUUAUUGCCUAUUUAUAUGGUGAUAGGGGAUUAGGCAGGCACUGUUCUUGAGUCUUUACUGAGCUAAAGGAAAGUGGCCAAUAGAUGGCCUAAAAGAAUCAUGGGGAAAUGUUUAAGGGGGAAUUGAAAAUUCAGUAUUUUCACAAGCUACAAAAACAUCCAAAGUCAAUGAUAAAAACAGAUGUAUUAUGGCAAAUUAGCAGUAGAGGGAAACAGAAAAUGUCGUUUUCUGAAUGAGGACUUAGAGUGGGAAGCUGUCCUUUAACUAUUAUAUAUAUUUUAAAAUAAUUUUAUUGAUAUACGAAAACUAAUUUAGAAACCACAUUAAUAAAUUAAUAAAAUUAUUAAAAUGAUGGUACUCCAUGAAUUUUUAACAAGAAUAUUCCCUAUGUUACACUUACAAGAAAUCUUUUUUGAUAACGUAAAGUCAUAAUUUGCAAAAUAUUUGGCACUCUUGUUUGCUUUCUGCUUCACUAUCUUUGAGUCUGUGACAGGUAGCUGAUGGUAAACCUCAUAGGAUUUGGAGUUAUAUUUGAAGACACUAUCCAAGAUAUUUAUUUGAACUUACACAAAAAGGCUAUUUUCACCCUUAAUAUUAAAAAGCUGAGAUGCAUCCCAGGAGGCAAAUAUCACUCAUGUACCUGGAAGCUUUUACUAAAUGGGUGACACCAAGAUGUGCUACACUGAACCCAACUUCUGCAUGUUUAAGACAAGGAUGUGCAUCUUUAUUUUUCCUGAAUAUUUCUAUUGUCUAAAUACCUUAGUAAAGUUUACUGCUUCUACGGAUGGCCUAAAAGUUCUGGCAAUGAAAGAAGUAAAGUGUGAAUGGAGUUUCAUAACAUGCUGCCUCCAAGAAGCGCAAGGUCAAAAAUUUACAUCAGGUAUCUGAAUGUGUAGCAUAUACAACUGAGUGUUGAAAGAAGACAAAAUCGUUUUCAUCACGAAGAAUAUGUGCUCAGUAAGAAUCAGAAUGUUCAAUUGUGUGAAGGUGGGAGAUGGGAAGAUUGGUAUUAUGGCCUGGAUCCAGAAAUCAGGUCAUGGAAGUCAACAGAGAUUGCUUUGCAUUGGAGACUGUCAGAAUCAGUUUGGGCUGGAAAGAACAUUCUGCAACAAUGUGAGGAAAGAUUAGAUUGGAAAGAAAACUGGUAAUAGGAGCACUAGGGAUAGGCUGAGUUCAGUGCAAAAGAAAAGGAGGACUGAAAGCUUUGGCAGUCUCUGAGGAUGGGAAGAAAGAAGACAAUUUGAUUGGCAAGAAUGACAAUAUUUAAUGAAACGAUGAAAGCAAGAGCAGGAUGAAGAAGAAAGAAGAUAGGGAAUAUAAUUUUUAAAAGAAGGUUGGGUGUGAAAAUUAGAUGGCCUGGAAAGUAACUUGAAGAAAGGUUAGAAUCAAACAACUUUUUAAAGGGCUUCCACUAUAGGAAAUGGGAAUUUAAAGAUGAUCAGAAGACAGUUGGGAGCAGAGUGAGAAUAAGAACCCUCAACUGCUGUCUCACCUUUCAGAUCACGAAGAAGUUUUUUACAAUGAGCAGAACACUCAACCUGAAAGCAGAAUGGAUUGAGUCACUGCAGCGUGGCAGUGGAAUGGUGUUUGAUGUUGGCAAAGGAAACAUGUACUUCUAGACUGGACAGUUUUCCCUUAGUUUACAGUUUCCAAAUAGAGACAUCACUUUGAAAUAACAUGGAGAACAUACAUGGAUGUACUGAACGAAGAAUAAAGUCUGUGUUGCAGUCCUGUCUCCAUUGACUUUUACAAAUAUGGCUUUGGAUGAAUCACCUAAGUUUUAUUUUUGAGAAUUUACGCUUACCAUGUAUAAAAUGAUAUUGCUAAUAUGUUUGCUGCCUACCCCAUUGGGUUUUGUGAGGAAUAAAUGAUAAUGCUAAGAAAAAGGC